rnacentral:rRNA from 1 species
UUGAACGCUGGCGGCAUGCCUUACACAUGCAAGUCGAACGGCAGCACGGGUGCUUGCACCUGGUGGCGAGUGGCGAACGGGUGAGUAAUACAUCGGAACAUGUCCUGUAGUGGGGGAUAGCCCGGCGAAAGCCGGAUUAAUACCGCAUACGAUCUACGGAUGAAAGCGGGGGACCUUCGGGCCUCGCGCUAUAGGGUUGGCCGAUAGCUGAUUAGCUAGUUGGUGGGGUAAAGGCCUACCAAGGCGACGAUCAGUAGCUGGUCUGAGAGGACGACCGGCCACACUGGGACUGAGACACGGCCCAGACUCCUACGGGAGGCAGCAGUGGGGAAUUUUGGACAAUGGGCGAAAGCCUGAUCCAGCAAUGCCGCGUGUGUGAAGAAGGCCUUCGGGUUGUAAAGCACUUUUGUCCGGAAAGAAAUCCUUGGCUCUAAUACAGUCGGGGGAUGACGGUACCGGAAGAAUAAGCACCGGCUAACUACGUG